rnacentral:lncRNA from 1 species
GAGAUUCCUUUUGAAGAAGAUACUUUGAGAAAUACAUGGUCACCAACUUGAAAUUCUAAUUUUCGUCUCCUGUUGUCUGCAUAACUUUUCUGUCUGCUUUGUGCUGCCCGAAGUCAUUCUUUAAUUAAUUGAAUCUUCUCGACUGCUUGUUGAACAAGUUCGGGACCCAAUAUUCUUCGCUCACCAACAUCAUCUCAGUGAAUCGGCGAUCGACAUCUUCUACCAUAUAAUGCUUCAUAAG